AUUGAACGCUGGCGGCUUGCUUUACACAUGCAAGUCGAGCGGUAACAGGCCUUCGGGUGCUGACGAGUGGCGAACGGGUGAGUAAUGCAUCGGAACGUACCCAGAGGUGGGGGAUAACGCAGCGAAAGCUGUGCUAAUACCGCAUGUGAUCUGAGGAUGAAAGCGGGGGACCGAGCAGCAAUGUUUGGCCUCGCGCCUUUGGAGCGGCCGAUGUCGGAUUAGCUAGUUGGUGGGGUAAAGGCCUACCAAGGCGACGAUCCGUAGCUGGUCUGAGAGGACGACCAGCCACACUGGGACUGAGACACGGCCCAGACUCCUACGGGAGGCAGCAGUGGGGAAUUUUGGACAAUGGGCGCAAGCCUGAUCCAGCAAUGCCGCGUGCGGGAAGAAGGCCUUCGGGUUGUAAACCGCUUUUGGCAGGAACGAAACGGUGUCCGCUAAUACCGGGCGCUAAUGACGGUACCUGCAGAAUAAGCACCGGCUAACUACGUG
rnacentral:rRNA from 1 species